CCCUUAGAUGUUCUGGGCUGCACACGUGCUACACUGGCAGGUUCAGCGAGCUUCAUGCCCUGAUCUGAAAGGAAUGGGAAAUCUUUUCAAAACCUGCCGUGCUUGGGAUAGAUGUUUGCAAUUAUUCAUCUUCAACGAGGAUUGCCUUGUAAGCGCACGUCAUCAGCGUGCAUUGAAUACGACCCUGUAUUCUGUACACACCGCCCGUCGCUCCUACCGAUUGAAGUUUUCGGUGAGUUGACAGGAGGAUUUUUUUGAAACUGAUUCGCCAGUGGAUUUUAGAUCCAAAUGCCAACGAAUCGAUGGCUUUAGAGGAAGGAGAAGUCGUAACA
rnacentral:rRNA from 1 species